CCUCACUUCUCUGUACUUAAAUUUUUUCCAUCAGUACCCACCUCCUGAACCUUCACUGUGACUGGCAGGUGUAAUGGGACUGUACUGGCCUAAGAACCCUCCUGCUCUCAAGAUUUUAGAAAUGUCUGAGCUCUUGCAAACCAGAGAUUACCAACUUCAUCAACAAGUCACUUGUGGAUGACCAUUAGAUGACAGAAAUCACUCUCUCCAGAAGAAGCUACAGGUGUCUAACCUACUAUUCCUACCUCCCUCCAACCUCAGCAAAAACUCAGCACAAUACAAACAAUCCUUCAAAAGAAAUCUUGCUAAAAGAAGAUAUUGAUCUUUUCCUCCCUUUCCUUUAGCCUCCAGUUUUCUCCCCUUAUUAGAAAUGGAGUUAGUUUACCCUAUUCCUCACCCAGACUGCAAACAUUAAUAAUAGAGAAUAAGAUUUGCACUUGCCUGAAGCAAUUUUAUUUUCCACUAGCUGCCCACUAAAUAGCAGUUAGAAGCUAUUCCAGCAAAUGGAGUGCUCCAUGGCCUAGGGGGAUGACAUGCCACAUUCUCCUUCACAGUCAUUGCUUUAGUUCCCCUGCAGAUUAUCUAAAUUAUCCACAAUACACCCUUCUUCAUUAUAGCUAUAGGAAUGAAGCAGGACUAUAUGAAAUUUUAACAUUUUUACAAUGCAUCACUAACCCCAUCAUCAGCUCAAUGUAUUCAUUAAUAUUUGGAAUAUUCACAAGCAGAAGUUGGAUAAAUUUGCUAGUCCAUUAUAACACUGUUUUUGGGAAGGGAAAAAAUCCAAUGUUUCCACAAACAAAUUAACACAGAAUUGAGUAUAUUUUUGCUGUAUGACAUCUCUCCAGCAAAGCACUAAACACAAAACCCACUUUCAAAUGUUUGUAACUGAAAACUUAUCUCUUCCUAGUGUUAAAACAAAAGUCAACCUUUUGUGAUUAAAAUGUGUCUUUUCCUUCAAGAUGCCUAUUUGAUAUAGCUGCAGAUAAAUACAAAUUUAUCUGAGGCAUGAAACUCCAAAAGUCUAUUUUUUUAAAUUUGUAACAAUACCUAGGUACACAUCUGAAAAAAAACCUGCACAAGUGGAAUGGACUUCAUCUGAAUUGCAGGGGGACCAAGCUGCAAUACUUUAAACAAAGACCAUGAGUGAACUUUGAAACUAAUGAGUUAGAAAAAGCUGAAUGAAUGCAAAGAACAUACUUUUCAGAAUAGUGUUUCGUAUUAUGCAAAUGCAAAAAUUCUUUACCUUAUGUGAAUCACAGGACAAAGGAUGAAAAUAAAUGAGAAACAGAAAGCAA